UACGUAGGGUGCAAGCGUUAUCCGGAAUUAUUGGGCGUAAAGAGCUCGUAGGCGGUUUGUCGCGUCUGCUGUGAAAACCCGAGGCUCAACCUCGGGCCUGCAGUGGGUACGGGCAGACUAGAGUGCGGUAGGGGAGAUUGGAAUUCCUGGUGUAGCGGUGGAAUGCGCAGAUAUCAGGAGGAACACCGAUGGCGAAGGCAGCUCGCUGGGACGGUACUGACGCUGAGGCGCGAAAGCGUGGGGAGCAAACAGG
rnacentral:rRNA from 1 species